AGAUAGCCGAGGAAACUGCAAGGAGUCUUUCAUGGUAUCGAUCGCACUCCGCAAGGUACCACAUCCACCGACGAAGAAGAGCUCAUGGACGGCACAUCAGAGAGAAAAGCCUCUCCCAGAAUAUAGCCGAGAAAAUCGCCAGGAGUCUUGCAUGGUAUCGAUCCCACUGCGCAAGAUACCAUUUCCACCGACGAGAAAGAGCUCAUGGACGGCAACUAAGAGAAAACAGUCUCUACCAGAAUUUGGUGAAGCCUGUGCACCUUCGUCGAAAAGGAGGAUUGCUCAUGGUUUCCUGCAGCCUGAAAUCGACCGAAGCAUGCCGUCUACUAGCCGCGAGGGCUUCCCGCAAAGAAAGCGUCGAAAGAUUGGUGGCCGACCACCCCAUGAAUUUUCUGCGCCAUUGGCCCAUGGUGGGGAAGAGGAGGUUGCCCACGAUCUCGGUGUAACCCCGGAGGAGUACCCCCUGUCAUCCAUGUCGGGUUUAACCGCCGAUCCUCCAAAACUUUUUACGUUCGGCCUAUUCACCUACGACACGCUGCUUAAGUGACAGUUCGACUGGCCCGCACGGAGCACGACCUGAGUUAUCGAGGACAGAGAAGUGCUUGUGCGCAGGGCCUGCCUUUGGCGUUGUCAUUACGCUUACGGUUCCCAGUGGAUCCCUUGUCAGUUUGUUACAACCGGACUUAUA